rnacentral:rRNA from 1 species
AGAGCACUCCUACGGGAGGCAGCAGUGGGGAAUAUUGCACAAUGGGCGCAAGCCUGAUGCAGCCAUGCCGCGUGUAUGAAGAAGGCCUUCGGGUUGUAAAGUACUUUCAGCAGUGAGGAAGGUGGGUAUGUUAAUAGCAUAUUCAUUUGACGUUAGCUGCAGAAGAAGCACCGGCUAACUCCGUGCCAGCAGCCGCGGUAAUACGGAGGGUGCGAGCGUUAAUCGGAAUUACUGGGCGUAAAGCGCAUGCAGGUGGUUUGUUAAGUCAGAUGUGAAAGCCCGGGGCUCAACCUCGGAAUUGCAUUUGAAAACUGGCAAACUAGAGUACUGUAGAGGGGGUAGAAUUUCAGGUGUAGCGGUGAAAAUGCGUAGAGAUCUGAAGGAAUACCGGUGGCGAAGGCGGCCCCCUGGACAGAUACUGACACUCAGAUGCGAAAGCGUGGGGAGCAAACAGGAUUAGAUACCCUGGUAG